AACGAACGCUGGCGGCAGGCCUAACACAUGCAAGUCGAGCGAACCCUUCGGGGUUAGCGGCGGACGGGUUAGUAACGCGUGGGAAUAUACCCUUUGGUACGGAAUAGCCUCGGGAAACUGAGAGUAAUACCGUAUGUGCCCUUCGGGGGGAAGAUUUAUCGCCAAAGGAUUAGCCCGCGUUGGAUUAGGUAGUUGGUGGGGUAAUGGCCUACCAAGCCUACGAUCCAUAGCUGGUUUGAGAGGAUGAUCAGCAACACUGGGACUGAGACACGGCCCAGACUCCUACGGGAGGCAGCAGUGGGGAAUCUUAGACAAUGGGCGCAAGCCUGAUCUAGCCAUGCCGCGUGGACGAUGAAGGCCUUAGGGUUGUAAAGUCCUUUCAGAUGGGAAGAUAAUGACGGUACCAUCAGAAGAAGCCCCGGCUAACUCCGUG
rnacentral:rRNA from 1 species